CGCCUACCUUUCUGCGUAUGUAUAUAUUACAGCCGAAAGGUAGGCGGAGCAAACACAGUUAAACAAGGACAUAGAGAGAGUCCGUAUCAUUCUCUUUUUCUGUUUUUUUACUAUCGCUUCUUCGGUUCGGACUGCUAGCGCGGUUUACUCUUAUAUGUUUAUGACUCAGAGCUCUUUUCCCUUCCUGUUUUUGAAAGUCUACCCGCUCGCACUGUAGAAAAAAGGGGAGGGACCUUUUCGCCACAGAAGACUCCAUCGUAGCUCCAUCUCGUAGGAGAGAGAAGUUUCUCUUUGGUCACUUUGGCCGGUAUUCACAGUCCGUGCCACAGCCUUCUUUAAUACCUAGCCAUGCUGAGAGUUGAAUGGCAACACCAGAGAGAAACUGAGAGUGCUCAUGGAGCCGUUUUGGCGUCUCCCAUACUAGUGCUGCACCUUGCGGCCAACUGGGGAAGAUGGUCCACCUUUAGCAUGUAGCAGAACCUUUGUAGGAGAAAUCUAC